rnacentral:tRNA from 1 species
GCCUGGUUGGCUCAGUUGGUUAAGUGCUAGACUUCAGCUUAAGUCAUGGUCUCAGGGUUUGUGGGUUUGAGCCCCGCAUUGGGCU